GUACUUGCUCUGGCAGUACAUAUACUAAAAUUGGAACGAUACAGAGAAUAUUAGCAUGGUCCCUGCGCAAGGAUGACACGCAAAUUCAAGAUGAGAGGGGAAAGGUA